rnacentral:rRNA from 1 species
AGAGUUUGAUCCUGGCUCAGAUUGAACGCUGGCGGCAGGCCUAACACAUGCAAGUCGAGCGGUAGCACAGAGAGCUUGCUCUCGGGUGACGAGCGGCGGACGGGUGAGUAAUGUCUGGGAAACUGCCUGAUGGAGGGGGAUAACUACUGGAAACGGUAGCUAAUACCGCAUAAUGUCGCAAGACCAAAGUGGGGGACCUUCGGGCCUCAUGCCAUCAGAUGUGCCCAGAUGAGAUUAGCUAGUAGGUGGGGUAACGGCUCACCUAGGCGACGAUCCCUAGCUGGUCUGAGAGGAUGACCAGCCACACUGGAACUGAGACACGGUCCAGACUCCUACGGGAGGCAGCAGUGGGGAAUAUUGCACAAUGGGCGCAAGCCUGAUGCAGCCAUGCCGCGUGUGUGAAGAAGGCCUUCGGGUUGUAAAGCACUUUCAGCGGGGAGGAAGGCGUUAAGGUUAAUAACCUUGGCGAUUGACGUUACCCGCAGAAGAAGCACCGGCUAACUCCGUGCCAGCGGCCGCGGUAAUACGGAGGGUGCAAGCGUUAAUCGGAAUUACUGGGCGUAAAGCGCACGCAGGCGGUCUGUCAAGUCGGAUGUGAAAUCCCCGGGCUCAACCUGGGAACUGCAUUCGAAACUGGCAGGCUAGAGUCUUGUAGAGGGGGGUAGAAUUCCAGGUGUAGCGGUGAAAUGCGUAGAGAUCUGGAGGAAUACCGGUGGCGAAGGCGGCCCCCUGGACAAAGACUGACGCUCAGGUGCGAAAGCGUGGGGAGCAAACAGGAUUAGAUACCCUGGUAGUCCACGCCGUAAACGAUGUCGAUUUGGAGGUUGUGCCCUUGAGGCGUGGCUUCCGGAGCUAACGCGUUAAAUCGACCGCCUGGGGAGUACGGCCGCAAGGUUAAAACUCAAAUGAAUUGACGGGGGCCCGCACAAGCGGUGGAGCAUGUGGUUUAAUUCGAUGCAACGCGAAGAACCUUACCUGGUCUUGACAUCCUCAGAACUUUCCAGAGAUGGAUUGGUGCCUUCGGGAACUGUGAGACAGGUGCUGCAUGGCUGUCGUCAGCUCGUGUUGUGAAAUGUUGGGUUAAGUCCCGCAACGAGCGCAACCCUUAUCCUUUGUUGCCAGCGGUCCGGCCGGGAACUCAAAGGAGACUGCCAGUGAUAAACUGGAGGAAGGUGGGGAUGACGUCAAGUCAUCAUGGCCCUUACGACCAGGGCUACACACGUGCUACAAUGGCAUAUACAAAGAGAAGCGACCUCGCGAGAGCAAGCGGACCUCAUAAAGUAUGUCGUAGUCCGGAUUGGAGUCUGCAACUCGACUCCAUGAAGUCGGAAUCGCUAGUAAUCGUAGAUCAGAAUGCUACGGUGAAUACGUUCCCGGGCCUUGUACACACCGCCCGUCACACCAUGGGAGUGGGUUGCA